rnacentral:rRNA from 1 species
GGCUCAGGAUGAACGCUGGCGGCGUGCCUAACACAUGCAAGUCAAACGAAGCACCUUUUGAGAUUCUUCGGAUGAUCGAUUGGUGACUGAGUGGCGGACGGGUGAGUAACGCGUGGGUAACCUGCCCUGUACAGGGGGAUAACAGCUGGAAACGGCUGCAAAUACCGCAUAAGCGCACGAGGAGACAUCUCCUUGUGUGAAAAACUCCGGUGGUACAGGAUGGGCCCGCGUCUGAUUAUCUGGUUGGAAGGGUAACGGCCUACCAAGGCAACGAUCAGUAGCCGGUCUGAGAGGAUGAACGGCCACAUUGGAACUGAGACACGGUCCAAACUCCUACGGGAGGCAGCAGUGGGGGAUAUUGCACAAUGGGGGAAACCCUGAUGCAGCAACGCCGCGUGAGUGAAGAAGUAUUUCGGUAUGUAAAGCUCUAUCAGCAGGGAAGAUAAUGACGGUACCUGACUAAGAAGCUCCGGCUAAAUACGUGCCAGCAGCCGCGGUAAUACGUAUGGAGCAAGCGUUAUCCGGAUUUACUGGGUGUAAAGGGUGCGUAGGUGGCAGUGCAAGUCAGAUGUGAAAGGCCGGGGCUCAACCCCGGAGCUGCAUUUGAAACUGCUCGGCUAGAGUACAGGAGAGGCAGGCGGAAUUCCUAGUGUAGCGGUGAAAUGCGUAGAUAUUAGGAGGAACACCAGUGGCGAAGGCGGCCUGCUGGACUGUUACUGACACUGAGGCACGAAAGCGUGGGGAGCAAACAGGGU